UUGACCUCAAAUCGGGU
rnacentral:rRNA from 3 species